GAUGAACGCUGGCGGCGUGCCUAAUACAUGCAAGUCGAGCGAACAGACGAGGAGCUUGCUCCUCUGACGUUAGCGGCGGACGGGUGAGUAACACGUGGAUAACCUACCUAUAAGACUGGGAUAACUUCGGGAAACCGGAGCUAAUACCGGAUAAUAUAUUGAACCGCAUGGUUCAAUAGUGAAAGACGGUUUUGCUGUCACUUAUAGAUGGAUCCGCGCCGCAUUAGCUAGUUGGUAAGGUAACGGCUUACCAAGGCGACGAUGCGUAGCCGACCUGAGAGGGUGAUCGGCCACACUGGAACGGAGACACGGUCCAGACUCCUACGUGAGGCAGCAGUAGGGAAUCUUCCGCAAUGGGCGAAAGCCUGACGGAGCAACGCCGCGUGAGUGAUGAAGGUCUUCGGAUCGUAAAACUCUGUUAUUAGGGAAGAACAAAUGUGUAAGUAACUAUGCACGUCUUGACGGUACCUAAUCAGAAAGCCACGGCUAACUACGUG
rnacentral:rRNA from 1 species